rnacentral:rRNA from 1 species
GACGAACGCUGGCGGCGUGCUUAACACAUGCAAGUCGAACGGUGAAAGCGGAGCUUGCUCCGCUGGAUCAGUGGCGAACGGGUGAGUAACACGUGGGCAACCUGCCCCUCACUUCGGGAUAACUCCGGGAAACCGGGGCUAAUACCGGAUAUGACCUCCUUGGGCAUCCUUGGAGGUGGAAAGUUUUUCGGUGAGGGAUGGGCCCGCGGCCUAUCAGCUUGUUGGUGAGGUAGUGGCUCACCAAGGCGACGACGGGUAGCCGGCCUGAGAGGGGGACCGGCCACACCGGGACUGAGACACGGCCCAGACUCCUACGGGAGGCAGCAGUGGGGAAUAUUGCGCAAUGGGCGAAAGCCUGACGCAGCAACGCCGCGUGCGGGAUGACGGCCUUCGGGUUGUAAACCGCUUUCAGCAGGGAAGAAGCCGCAAGGUGACGGUACCUGCAGAAGAAGCACCGGCUAACUACGUGCCAGCCGCCGCGGUAA